UACGAAGGGAGCUAGCGUUGUUCGGAAUCACUGGGCGUAAAGCGCACGUAGGUGGACAGUUAAGUCAGGGGUGAAAGCCCGAGGCUCAACCUCGGAAUUGCCUCUGAUACUGGCGGUCUAGAGUUCGGAAGAGGUAGGUGGAAUUCCUAGUGUAGAGGUGAAAUUCGUAGAUAUUAGGAAGAACACCGGUGGCGAAGGCGGCCUACUGGUCCGAUACUGACACUGAGGUGCGAAAGCGUGGGGAGCAAACAGG
rnacentral:rRNA from 1 species